UGCUUGGCUAAAGAUUAUUUCUCUUAUUUAAGCCAUUGAUUGUUGCGCAAACUUUUGAGUAAUUCUAGUAAUGUCAUUUAUGACUUUCCAAUUCACCACUAACAUGACGCAGAAUGAAAGAAAUUGCGAACAAAUGCUACAUAUAUUGACAGAAGAUGAAAGAUUUGUGACAAUAAUCUCCAGAAAUAGCUUCUUCUUCCAGUCACGGUUUAAAUAAUAGAGGCAAAGAUGUUGUAAAAACGACUAUGGUUGCAAUC